UCCAGACAAAGGUGCCCUGAAGCAGCCGGAUCUCUGGAGUGUCUGACUCUGUCUCUGCUUCCACACGACGAUGGGGAUUACUCCUUAUCUCUGUGUCCUCCUGCUCUGUCUGACAGGUGUCCGCUCUCAGAUCGUGCUGACACAGCCUGAAUCAGUUGUGAAAAAGCCGGGGGAGUCUGUCAGACUGACCUGUACAGUGAGUGGGUUCAGCCUCAGCAGCUACGGCAUGCACUGGGUGAGACAGGUCCCUGGGAAAGGGCUGGAAUGGCUGCUGUACUAUUAUUCAGAAAGUAGCAAGUACUACGGACCAGGAGUUCAAGGCCGAUUCACCCCUUCCAAGGACACGACCACAUCUUACCUACAGGUGACAAAUCUGAAAGUGGAUGACACCGCCAUGUAUUAUUGUGCUAGAGGCACAGUGAGACGAAAUGGGGCUGGACUGGUACAAAAACUCACUGAGAGAAUCGACAGUCAGGGGAAUCAGUGAAAAGGGAGGAACUAUCACACACCACCCCCCAGCUACCAGCACAGCUUCAUUCCCAUCCUGACUGUGUUGGGAUUUGCUGGUCCUGGGAAUGGGGAAAUGGGAUUAUUCACUGCUGAUUCCUGGCACU